GGUCUGUUCAGGGACGUAUAUCUGUAUAUGUCUUAGGUCUGUUCAGGGACGUAUAUCUAUAUAUGUCUUAUGUCUGUUCAGGGACGUACAUCUAUAUAUGUCUUAUGUCUGUUCAGGGACGUAUAUCUAUAUAUGUCUUAGGUCUGUUCAGGGACGUAUAUCUGUAUAUGUCUUAGGUCUGUUCAGGGACGUAUAUCUAUAUAUGUCUUAUGUCUGUUCAGGGACGUAUAUCCAUACAGUUCUAGGUCUGUUCAGGGACGUAUAUCCAUAUAUGUUCUAGGUCGUUUGACCUCUGUGUGAUCUUGAGAGGUCUCUUUUCUUGUUCGGUCACAGGUAAAACAUUCACCUGUAGACGUAUAUACCUGAUGGUGACAGGUCAAUCAAAUGUCACGAUAAUAGAUCAUGAUGGUGACACAGAUAAAUCAGUUAAUUUAUAAUGAUGAUGCAGUGUGGUAAAAAACGGAGAUGGAUUAUAAUAAUAUGAUAAUUUAUAGGCUUAUGUUUCUCACAAUUAUUUUAUACGGAGUUCAGCCUUAUUAUAGACAGUCUCGUAACAAGUUAGAUUAUCACUCCACAAUGAUCAGUGUGGCCUUUACGAGUUUAUGUAAGUAUGACGAAAAGGAAGUAUUUUUGGUGAAAAGGUCGUUUUAGUUGCAAUCUUUCAAUCUUUGACAGAAAGUCAAUUGUCAUUAGUAAAAUAUAUAUAGCGUUAUUAAAUCUGUUAGAUUAUAGAUUGCUUCAGAAACCAUCUUUAUGACAGCAAGUCAUUAAUUAUCGUUAAAUAGUUACAAUAAAAUAAGGUAAUGUAAACACUGCAUCAGAUACAGUAUUUCUGACAAAUUUAUGUAAAGUUAAAAUAUAUAUAUCUAAAUCACAAUAUUUCUGACAAAUGUCUGUUAAGUUAAAAUAUAUAUAUAUCUAAAUCAAAAUCACAUUUUGUUUCAGUUAUUGUACAUGUGCAAUAUACCAUUAGAUAUCGUUUGACUAUAUAUGUAACACUUGGAAGGGGGCAGUAUGAGAAUUAUGAUAUCUUGGUAGUUACAGUCUUUGUGUAUGAAGAAUUGUAUUUUUAAUAGAAUGCAUAUGAAGAUGCCACUGCAUGCAUGCCAUGAUUUCUAUGAAAUAGAAAAAAAUAUCAUGUAUAUAUUUAUUCAAUGCCUCCGAUAGGGAUCGAAACGGUGACCCAUAGCUUAUUACGAGUCUGGCUGAUUAAGCAUCGUCGGAAACUCACGAGAUUUUGCUCUGUCGUUUGUUUCCUGGGUAACAACAGUCUCGUGGGUUUCCGAUGGUGCUGAUUAAAGUAAAGGGAAAUUUCCCCGGACCGGGUCGGUUACCAGGAUAACAUAAAAUGAUGUGAUAUACAAAAUAUUGGCGAAAGAGAAACUUCAUGGUGCUUUAAAGUUCGUACUGUUACGAUUUCUAUACACAUUGUUUCAUUAUCAAAUGUAUUUAGUGCUCAGAAUCAAAUAGCAUUAAUUAAAAUCUUAGAAAAAAUUUGACUUGUUAACACUUAUUGAUCUUGAUUUUAUGAACUGAGAUGCCACGCUCAAUAUUAUGUUAAUAAUAUUUGUAUGCUAAACAAAAUCUUAUCAGUGAUGUUUGGAAGAUUUACUAUGUAAAAAAUCAAAUUAUAGAUAAAAAUAUUUACACAAUG